UCUUCGCCUAUGUCGCCUGUACGCUUGUUUGGAGGGUCCUGAUGGUAUGGCCCAGCCCGUUGUGGCGCUGGCAAGUGUUUAUAGUGGCGCCAUCUUGCAUUGGCCCAUGCUGCCCCCCGGAGCUCAUCUUUAAUCCUAGAAUCCAGAGUCCGGGUUGAUGGGUGGUCUUCUGGACAGCAUGUGGGUAGUCUUAGGCCACUCGCCGGCGGCUGAAAAAUCCUUACUUCGUGUCACCGGGCGGGGAUCGAACUCGCGUCGUCCUGAAGGGGACGACGUGAGUAUUUGAGUGAUUCCUGCUGUCAUUUAUCUAGUUAGUUAUAUACUUUAGUUAUCAUUUGUUACAGGCAUAUAUUUGGCCUCUCUUUACUCUCCACCUCCAACUAAAACUGAAUCCUUUAUUGUGUUUUUUGAAGAGUUUGAAUCUAUAGUUAUAUACCGUAGUUAUGUUCUGUGAGAGUCAUAUAUUUGGGCUCCUUUUACUGUCCACUUCCCACUUCUAUCAUGUUUUUUGAAGAGUUUGAACCCCUAACGGCCUAACCCCUAAUACUGGCUCUAUAAUGGUUUCAGCUCAUGAUGUACGUCGUGAAUGAGGAGUUUGAACCCAUAUCUUUCGGCUCCGUGCUCAUCUGCCUCCAUCGCUACGACACGCUGGGCACUACUUACUUUUUCAAGCAGUUAGGAAUUGAUGUGCCAUCACAGCCACAGCGAACCUCCAUGCUAGUGGCCACCAUAAGCCUGACGGAGGACCUGUGGCUCCCCAUGAACUGCCAGUCAGUUCUCAACGAUCCUGAGGACGUGUUUCAUCACCGCCCAGAUCCUUGACCAAAAAACUUCUAUCUCCUCGGGAAGCCAGAGCAUGCGCUUAUAUCCCAGGCUUCUGUUGAGGUUGGGGACAUCAGCGGACCCACAUACACACAGUACAGUAACUGGACCUUCGAUGUGACGGUGAGGACGGAUGCUCCGGCGCUCUUCGUGUGGCUCCAGACAACCCACCCCGGAGUGUUCUCAGAUAACGGGUUCAUGAUGAGGGAAGAAGAGACGGAGGUUCAGUUUUACGCCGGCGAGGAGGUGACUGCGGCAGAGUUACAGGCGUCGGUGAACGUCAAGUCCCUCACCGACACCUACCAGCAGCGGUAGGGAGGUGAGGCGAGGCCCGAAGGUAUACUGCACCCCAGUGAUAUAUAUCCGGAACAGCUGGUGGGCAUGAUCCUUGAGGCUUUUUCCUAUCGGUCCUUCUGUCUAGCGUCAAGUCAUUAGCUCGAAACAGAACGGCAAUCAUCAUAAUAGCGUUGAAAGCCAGGGAGGAGCUCAAGACACUUUCAUCCAGUAUUUUAGAGCUAAAGCAUUCAUCAUGGAUCUCUUGAAGCUGUUGUAAUCAAUCUUUAUGUCCAGCGUCAAGUCAUUAACUAAAGACAGAAUGGCAUUGAAAAUCAAGGAAGAUCUCAAGACACUUUCAUCCAUUAUUUUAGAGCUAAAGUAUCCAAAUGCUGUGGAUUUCUCAAAGCUGUUCUUAUUGGUCCCUUUGUCUAGCGUCACGCCAUCAUCCCCUGACACCACAGUAGACAUAAGAGCAGUGUUGUUUGGGUCUUCGCAUGCUCUAUCGGGGAAGUGUUGAAUAAAGGGAAUAUUUGCUUUAGUGUAGUAUGUCUGUGUAUCCUCCAUUCUAUACUAAAGAGAUGUAAGGGAAGUGUAGAGUGUAGUGUUGUGUUUGUGAUCUCUAAAAGUUGAUGCCCUUGCUGUAAAACAAAUUAUAGCACCAAUAAAAAUGAUAAUCUCACACUCCUUUCCAUUCCCAAAGUAGGAAAAGGGAACACAUUCACCAUAGUAAAUGCAGAGCUUUGAAACGGGAAUGAAAGUGCAAGACCAUAUAUGGGAUGCACGGGCACCAUGUCAAUGGAAUGAGGAAGACUUGUUGGUGGUAGCGAGUGUUCUAAGUGCUAAUCGGUUCACGGAUAGAGAAACUCAUAUCCGUCAGGGUUACUUUAUUGGACAAAAAUACAUCAAGUCAUUGAGACAAACACAACACAAGGAAAAGGUGUUUGUGUGGGUAUGCGUUUGUGUGAAUGUUGUUUGUGUAGGUUAACAUUUAAGUGUUGGUGUAUGUGUAUAACAAUGUGUAACGGUAGACAACAAAAGGACAUAGACGGACAGUCAAAGGUAAACGAGUACAAGAAAGAUAAACAUUGAAGACACGACGCGGACAGAGACAAGUACUAACGAUGAACAUGAAAACACAAUUUUAAAGUCUUCUGUGCAGUGCACCAUUUUCUUAUGUGUCACUGAGGGGAAGGAACACGCGAUUCGAGCGGUGACUGCUACAGACUCUGGCAUAUUGGAGUCACUGUCAGCCAGAGGAUGAGGACAAGAUCUAACACUCCUAAAAAUAAAAUCCUGCCCGAACUGAAAUACUUAUUCUUUGUUAUUAUUAUUGUUAUUAUUGAGAUCCACGACAUAGCAUUAAGCGAAAAAAAAUACAACUGACCCAGACCCCAAAAAACAAGGGUGCAAAAAAUAAAGGCCAGCGACAACAACGUAAAGUUAAGAGAAUAGUAAAGAAAGAAGGGAGUAAAAAAAACUAUGGGA